UACGUAGGGUGCGAGCGUUGUCCGGAAUUAUUGGGCGUAAAGAGCUCGUAGGCGGCCUGUCGCGUCGGUCGUGAAAACUUGGGGCUUAACCCUGAGCUUGCGGUCGAUACGGGCAUGACUGGAGUUCGGCAGGGGAGACUGGAAUUCCUGGUGUAGCGGUGGAAUGCGCAGAUAUCAGGAGGAACACCGGUGGCGAAGGCGGGUCUCUGGGCAGUAACUGACGCUGAGGAGCGAAAGCGUGGGGAGCGAACAGG
rnacentral:rRNA from 1 species